AGACACUUCGCCGGAAUCGGUUUUUCGGAUGAAAAUUUGAUCCGGAAAUAAUAGGGAACACGGAGAGAUCUACCCAUCAGGGGAUCUUGAGCCGUGGCUGCCCCCGCAACUGUAAGCAACUUAAAGCUUGUUAUAACCACUGGUAUUUUUCAGAGAUAAUUCGCUCUGAAUUUUUAUAUCGGGAAGGAACAAUGCUCUUGCGUUGCAAGCCAGGAGACCUGCCGGUUUAACGUCACCUGU
rnacentral:ncRNA from 2 species